GAUUAACGCUGGCGGCGUGCAUAACACAUGCAAGUCGAACGAAGUGGCGUAAGGGUGAGUAACGCGUGAGUAACCUGCCUUAGAGAAGGGGAUAGCCUUUGGAAACGAAGAAUAAUCCCCUAUGCCUUAAGAUGGACUUGAGUCUGAUUAGUUAGUUGGUGGGGUAACGGACCACCAAGACAGCUAUCAGUAGCCGGCUUGAGGGAGUGUACGGCCACAUUGUGAAUGAGGCACGGCCCAGACUCUACGAGAGGCAGCAGUGGGGAAAUUUGCACAAUGGGGGAAACCCUGAUGCAGCGACGCCGCGUGAUUUAGAAGGCCUUCGUGUUGUAAAAAUCUUUUCUAUGGGAAGCAGUACCAUAGGAAUAAGGACCGGCUAAUUACGUGCCAGCAGCCGCGGUAAUAC
rnacentral:rRNA from 1 species